CAUGUGACCAGUUCCUGGGCACUCCCUCCUCAUGCAUACGGUAAUGAGGGAGGGGCCCAGUGGAGAAUAAAAGCAUGCAUGCCCAAGUAUUCUUUAGCUCAUUCGGGAGGCCGCAACUUAUGCAUAUAAUGUUGGGGGAUGGGCUCAGGACUUUCAACCUCUUGCCUCAGAGGGCACAGGAUAUUCGUAGGUCCUUCCAACGGACAUGAGGGCACCAACUCCGUUUAGAAGAAAGGAGGUUUCGUUAAAGUAUUCGGAAAGGAUUUUUUACUGUGAGAGCUGUGAAGUUAUACACAUAUGAUUGUGUCCCUACACACUCUGGCAAUAAAAUCAUCAAGUUUGCGGACGAUACUACGGUGAUCGGACUUAUCUCUGGAAAAGAGAGUGAGAUGGAAUACAGGAAUGAAGUGGAAUGGCUGUCAGAAUGGUGUAAAGACAACAACCUGCUCCUGAACAUUGCAAAAACCAAGGAACUGGUCAUUGACUUUAGGAAAAAUAAGAGCAACAUUGAACCACUCAUCAUUGAUAGAAUGCAGGUGGAGAGGGUUUCAGUGUUUAAAUUCCUAGGAAUGGAGUUGGAGGAUAAUCUGAAGUGGAGUAUAAACUCUAAGGGGCUGUUUAAGAAAGCGCAGCAAAGAUUGUACUUUCUGAGAGUUCUGAGGAAAAACCAUCUACCUAAAAAUCUUCUUUGUGCCUUUUAUCACUGUUCCAUCGAAAGCAUACUUACAUAUGGACUAUGUGUGUGGUUCCGGUGCCUGUACCUCCAAAGAUGCUAAGGCACUUCAGAGGGUUGUCAGGUCAGCAGAGAAAAUAAUUGAUUGUUCGCUCCCAACCCUAGAACACAUCUACAUCUCACGUUGUCAAAAAAAAGCUCUGGGUAUUGCACAAGAUCCGACUCAUCCUGGCCACUGUCUCUUCCAGCUCUUGCCAUCGGGGAGGAGAUAUAGAACAAUGAAAGCCAAAACUAAUCGUUUGAGAGACAGUUUUUAUCCAAGAGCAAUUAUGGCUUUGAAUAUGAAACAGUAGAAUGAUAUUUUCUAUUAUUAUGCCACUGCUUUGAGUUGUUGCUAUUUUAAAAUCUCGUUGUUUACUAUGUGACAAUGACAAUAAAGAUAUAUUCUAUUCUAAA